UAACNCAUGCAAGUCGAACGGGGUAGAUGGACUUCGGUUGUCUGCUUAGUGGCGAACGGGUGAGUAACGCGUGAAGAACCUGCCUUUCGAUGGGGGGACAACAGUUGGAAACGACUGCUAAUACCGCAUAAUGUAUUCGGAUGGCAUCAUCUGGAUACCAAAAGCUUAAUGUGCUGAAAGAUGGUCUCGCGUCUGAUUAGCUAGAUGGCGGGGUAAGGCCCACCAUGGCGACGAUCAGUAGCCGGUCUGAGAGGAUGAACGGCCACAUUGGGACUGAGAUACGGCCCAGACUCCUACGGGAGGCAGCAGUGGGGAAUAUUGGGCAAUGGGGGAAACCCUGACCCAGCAACGCCGCGUGAAGGAAGAAGGCCUUCGGGUUGUAAACUUCUUUUAGUAGGGACGAAGAACGUGACGGUACCUACAGAAAAAGCAACGGCUAACUACGUG
rnacentral:rRNA from 1 species